AUUGAACGCUGGCGGCAUGCCUUACACAUGCAAGUCGAACGGCAGCGCGGGAGCAAUCCUGGCGGCGAGUGGCGAACGGGUGAGUAAUAUAUCGGAACGUGCCCAGUAGUGGGGGAUAGCCCGGCGAAAGCCGGAUUAAUACCGCAUGAGACCUGAGGGUGAAAGCGGGGGAUCGCAAGACCUCGCGCUACUGGAGCGGCCGAUAUCAGAUUAGCUAGUUGGUGGGGUAAAGGCCUACCAAGGCAACGAUCUGUAGUUGGUCUGAGAGGACGACCAGCCACACUGGGACUGAGACACGGCCCAGACUCCUACGGGAGGCAGCAGUGGGGAAUUUUGGACAAUGGGCGCAAGCCUGAUCCAGCAAUGCCGCGUGCAGGAAGAAGGCCUUGGUUGUAAACUGCUUUGUCUGGAAGAAUCCUUGGAUAAUACCUCGGGGGAGUGACGGUACCUGAAGAAUAAGCACCGGCUAACUACGUAGCCAGCAGCCGCGGUAAU
rnacentral:rRNA from 1 species